GGCGCUGGGCGCUCCGCUGCCCCCGCGGCGGCUGCUGCAGCGGCUGCUGCUGCUACUGCGGCUCCUGCUGCCGCCGCCGCCGCCGCUCGGCCUCAGGCAGCUGCAUCCUCGGCCGGGCCGGGUCCCCGCCCCGCGCCGCGCCCGGCCCCGCCAUGGUGUCCUGGAUCAUCUCUCGCCUGGUGGUGGGCUGAUGCGGAGCUGGGAGGGAGAGGCCACUGCCCUUGGCUGAGAGGCCCAGUAACCAUGCCUGCCUCCCUAGGCUCAUCUUUGGCACCCUGUACCCAGCCUAUUCUUCCUACAAGGCCGUGAAGACAAAAAACGUGAAGGAAUAUGUGAAAUGGAUGAUGUACUGGAUCGUCUUUGCCUUCUUCACCACGGCCGAGACGCUCACGGAUAUAGUGCUCUCCUGGUUCCCCUUCUACUUUGAACUGAAGAUCGCCUUCGUGAUAUGGCUGCUGUCCCCUUACACCAAGGGCUCCAGCGUGCUCUACCGCAAGUUCGUGCACCCAACGCUGUCCAACAAGGAGAAGGAGAUCGACGAGUACAUCACGCAGGCCCGAGACAAGAGCUAUGAGACCAUGAUGAGGGUGGGCAAGAGGGGCCUGAACCUUGCCGCCAAUGCUGCAGUCACAGCUGCCGCCAAGGGCCAGGGGGUGCUGUCAGAGAAGCUCCGCAGCUUCAGCAUGCAGGACCUGACCCUGAUCCGGGACGAGGACGCACUGCCCCUGCAGAGGCCUGACGGCCGCCUCCGACCCAGCCCUGGCAGCCUCCUGGACACCAUCGAGGACUUAGGAGAUGACCCUGCCCUGAGUCUAAGGUCCAGCACAAACCCGGCAGAUUCCCGGACAGAGGCUUCUGAGGAUGACAUGGGAGACAAAGCUCCCAAGAGGGCCAAACCCAUCAAAAAAGCGCCCAAAGCUGAGCCACUGGCUUCCAAGACACUGAAGACCCGGCCCAAGAAGAAGACCUCUGGCGGGGGCGACUCAGCUUGAGCCCCUCCACCCCCGCAGGCUGCAGAGCAAGGAUGAAGCCUCAGGAGGGGCCUCAGACCCAGCCCCUGCUCCACACUGUGCCAGUAGCCUAGGUGUCUCAGGCCCCUGGGCCCCGCAGAUGGCCAUUUCCGGUGCCUGCCCAGUGGCCACUCUUCUGGAAGGGGCUUGGAAAAGAGGAAGGAGGCCCAGCUGUGGGGGUUGAGGGUAGAGGGUGGACCAGAGGCUGAGGACUGAGCCACCCAAGGAGGUGGGGACUGCUCGGCCUCCACCGCUGUUCCGCUGCAGCCCCGCCCUGCCCCACCCACCCAGUGCCUUGCUGAAGCCCAUAGCAAUCCGCUUCUCAGAGGUCCUGUCGUGUUUCCACUGCUCGCCUUGGUUUGGGAGCAGGGAGGGGGAAGUCCUAGCCCAGAUGGACCAAGGACGGGCCUGAAGGCACAUGGGGGAAAGGGAGCACACGGGGAGGACGUUGGGGACCCUGGGUGGGGCCUCCAGGUGCAGCUGUGGAUGGAAGACAGGGAUUGGCCUGUGCUUCAGCGACCAGGAUGGCCAGGCCAGAGCUGCAGCUGGGGGCUCUUUUCCUGGUCAUUGGGUGGGGCUGAGUGCCACAUGUUCCCACAUUAAAAAGGGGGGUCCAGGGCUGUGUGAGUGUGUCUUUCUGGGUCUAGGGCUCGGGGUAGUUUGGGUCAAGGACUGUCCCUCCAGCAGUCGCCUCCUCCCACCCUGAGCCCCACAGUCAUCUGGCCCUUUCCCUGCUCAACCCUCCAUCCUAGGCUCUGAGCCUCAGAGGACCCAGCCCAUGAGAGAACGGGGAUCUGGGGGGCCUCUCACCUGCUCCUAUGACCUUGCUCCCUUUUAGGUCACCCCAUUGCCACCGUGCCCCUGGGCUGGACUCCCGUGCUCCUCAGGGCCCACCCCUGCUCUGUCUGGUACAGGCCCCUGCUGAGUGGGCCCCUCUCCUCUGCCCCUGGGGUCCAUCCCCUCUUGCCCAGGGUCCCCAUCCUGUACCAAGCAGACUGGGCCCUAAGACCCCUGGCAGAACCCAGCCUCUGCUCACACCCGCCCCAGCUUCUGCCACGGCUUCAGUCAGGGCCAGGAGGAACACGUGAAGGAGAAAGAGAAAUGCAGGAGCCGCGGGGCUCCCGGUUCCUUGGGAAGAGGGUGCCCAUUGGACCUUUGGCACUGGAUGAGCCAAUAAACCAAACUCUGGCACCUCA